GCAGUCCAUCCUACGGGAGGCAGCAGUGGGGAAUAUUGCACAAUGGGCGCAAGCCUGAUGCAGCCAUGCCGCGUGUAUGAAGAAGGCCUUCGGGUUGUAAAGUACUUUCAGCAGUGAGGAAGGUGGGUAUGUUAAUAGCAUACUCAUUUGACGUUAGCUGCAGAAGAAGCACCGGCUAACUCCGUGCCAGCAGCCGCGGUAAUACGGAGGGUGCGAGCGUUAAUCGGAAUUACUGGGCGUAAAGCGCAUGCAGGUGGUUUGUUAAGUCAGAUGUGAAAGCCCGGGGCUCAACCUCGGAAUUGCAUUUGAAACUGGCAAACUAGAGUACUGUAGAGGGGGUAGAAUUUCAGGUGUAGCGGUGAAAUGCGUAGAGAUCUGAAGGAAUACCGGUGGCGAAGGCGGCCCCCUGGACAGAUACUGACACUCAGAUGCGAAAGCGUGGGGAGCAAACAGGAUUAGAUACCCUGGUAG
rnacentral:rRNA from 1 species